ACAAGGAGAGGCUCCGGGCGCACGCGUUAGUUCUCCACGGACCGUUUGUGCUGCGCACCUAGGAAGCGUGGGGUGGCCGUUUGCCUGGCGGACGGAGUAUGGGUCCCGGGCGGGCUCCUGCGGAAGUUCACUCACCGCUGGCAGAGGCGCCUUGGCUCCGGUUGCCGACGUCCUCUUCGCGAGUCACUCCUGGAGCCGGACCCGUCCGGAGCCGACGCCAGAUCCCCCGCGUGGCCUCCUCAGUGCCUGUGUGACCUCCUUGUCCCCGGGAUGUGGCGACAACGCCUGACUGCUGUGGCCGGCUGACUCCUCAGUUUGUCCCCUCCUGAAGGCUGCUUGGAGCCCCAUCACCCAGUGAACCGGCCCUUUUCACUGGGCGUCAGAGAACAGGAAUGUCUGGAUGGAGACAAACCAUCAUAGACCCAUGAGCCUUCUGUGAUAUCAUUGGUCCUGCCAGAAUUGCUUUGGAGGUAUUACGAGGUGGCAUAAUCGAACUACAAAAAUAUUGUUCUUUUGUUUGUUUUACAUGAUCCUCCUUGGCUAUAUCUGAGUGGGACAUUGGCAAGAUAUCUUCCUGAAACUGAGCAGCUCUGUCAGCUCACUUCUUGCCUGUAUACAGUUGGGAGCCCCAGGAUCUUUAUAAGUAUCAAAUUGUCGUGAUUUAUUUUAGUUUAGGCUGUUGAUUCUUUUUUGCAGCACAGUUUUCUAAAACGUAUUUUUGGCUUUUCUGUCUCAUUGCAGUCAGCUCUGUGAGCAACGACCACACCCGGGUUUCUUUUGUGUCACAAGUCUUACUGUAUAUUUCUUGGCUUUCUCUUCCCCUUACCUCUUUCUCUUUCUCUACUUAGCCAUGCAUACCCAGAGCCUGUAUGAACGCCUCAUCAUACCUGCUAAGUAGUUGUUCCUUUAACAAGAAUUUAGCCACUGAGUAAUACUGACCCUCCCUCUUCCAGUCUGUGAUAAAUUGACCUCACUAUCUGCCAUAUAACCCAUGAAGCCGAUACCACAUAUUUCCAUGGAUGGUAGAACCUUGCAUAUCUUUGACUUCUUACUCAGCUUAGUCUUCCCCUCCUAAUGGCCAUGGACAUCACACUUUGACAAGAUGCAUUGUUUGGAAGGCCUUUCUAAGACCUAUAGAAAGUGCUUAAGAGAGGUAUCUGGAAAUUUGGAGCACCAUGGAUACAAUGUUACAUUAGUUUCGGGUGUACAAUGUGGUGAUUUGACACCUGUAUACCUUACACUGUGCUCACCACAAGUGUAACUACCAUCUAUCUAUAAGGAGAGAACACUUUUGGACACCGAUAAAUCAGAAAGGGGGAAGAAGCAGUUAUUGAAAAUAGACACUUUCUUUCUGCUUGCAAUACUACUUAAAGAUAAUGAAGCUCCAAGGUAUUGCCUUAAAAAAAAAAAUCAAUGCCAGUAAGAGGUUGCAUCCACAAUGGGAAAAAGUAUCACUAGAGUUUUGAUGCCUGUUCUCUCAAUACCAAUCAACUUUGUUCAUUAACAGUAGGAGCUAACAUUUAUAUGGUACCUUAAAAAAAACUUUCAUUAUUUCAUAGACAUAUUUUUAUUUAUUCUAACCUUAAAGUCUCAAAACAACCUUCUCGUUAUGGUUUGUUUUGUAUAGAUUAUUGUAAUUCAAACAAAAAAAAAGAUACUCUGGGUAAUAAUUAGAAACAAAAAAUAUGAAUGAAAAUAAGCAAAAAGGGGAAGCACUUAUUAAGGACAUGGCAAAGGAUCAUUCUUAAAAGGGCAUAGAACCACAUCUCUUAUACAGAUAGGAUAAACGCAAGUCAAAGAUUUUAUUUAACUCUCUCCUUAAAGAGGGAAACAGUAGCUUUACAACUGAUUCAAAAGGGAGCUCAGAGUACCACAUAUCUAUAGACCUGCAAAGAACAUGGACACAAAUUUACAAGUAUGCAUGUAUUUUUAGAUGAACUGAAUAAAUGGAAUUUUUUGAAGUAAGCAACAAAACUCAGACUUCUAAUAUUCUACCAAAAUCUAGCUCAUUUGUGAGACCCAUACAAAAGGAACGUGAACAUUAAUAGGGACCAGUGCAUGGUUAAAUCAGAGGUGUCAAUGGGCUGGAGGUAAGGGUGACUUUUCAAAACUAAACUCUAUUUUAUGAGUCUAGUUCAGUGAUCUCAUGUAUAUUAAAGGUUGGAUUCAUCUAUUAUUUGGUAUGUAAACUAGACUUAGAGCCUUUCUUUAACUUCCUGACUUCAUGCUAUUAUGGACUCAAAUCAAUGUAUCUUUUCACCCAGCCUUCCCUUCCCUUCCCCAAAGACAGCCUUCCUGCUCCAGAUUUGCUAACAGAAGGGGACACUGUGGGAACAUCUUGAUAAUUGAGACAUCGUUAGUCUAAUUACUUAUAUCACAGCCCUGCUUCACCUUCGCCCUCCCCUAUUUCUUAGAGAAGCAUCUGCUAAAUGUCAGUAGUUAAGAUGUGUCAGACAGAAUCCAGAGCUGCAUAGCUUAGUUGUUGGGAGGCAGCCAGAGAGGAGAAGAAGAAGAAAAAUAUUUCUUUCAAAUCCUUUUUUCAGUUGUUGUUCCUGAUUGUUUUACAGAGAGAGAGAGAAGAGUCCAACAAAAAUCUAAGGAGAGGAUAUUUGUGUGCCUGUGUGAGUGUGUGUGAGCAUAUUGUCAGUGUGUGCAUGCAAGAGAGAGAAAGAGAGAGAGAGAGAGAAAGAAAGAGAUUGCUAAUCAGCCAAUGGUAAGGGUAUACACGUAUGCGGGGAAAAAGCAUGACAUCAUUGGCAUGAUUUAUGUGCCAGUUGAUGAGUUAAAGAUUUAAUGGCUCUUUAAAUAGGGUGGAGAAUGGAACAUAUAUAAAACUUAGCAUACCACUUAUGCCCUGUUGGAUCAGACACUAAAAUUUUGCUAGUGAACUAGAGGCCAGUCAUCUGUAUGUCUGUUUGGGGAGGGUGUCUAGUUCUCGCUGGACACGAUCAAAAUUAUAUAUACUAUCAAUUAACUGCAAAGGCGGUAUUGAAGCAGCAAUCCUCUCAUCUCCAAUAAGUGUUUCACCCUGUUCCUUUACGUGUGGAACAGGGCUACCACCAGUAGUGAAUCCGGGAUUCUUUCCUCAGCCCCACAGAGGAAUGGCUACUUCACUGAAGCAAUCCAUAUUUCAGUAUCUGUGCAGAUUUAGAUCAUUUGAGGAAGAAAAGUCUAUUCAAACGUCACCACUUUAUUUUGUAAAUAAGAAUGGCACCUGAAGACACUCAUGUACGUGUUCAGUCCCACAGAAUAGUGAUUCUCAACUUGGGGUGCCCCUAGAACCACAUAGUACCAUCUCAGACCUUCUAUGUGAGAAUACCCAGAGGAGAGGCCCGUUUUAAAAAUCCCCAC